AAAACACUCUGGGAAAAGAAGAGGAGAAGAGGCAGGGCGGAUGAACCAGGAUGAGCAAAAUGUUGGGCUUGGCACACAGCACGUGCUUCGUUGUGGAGGGGACUCUGAAUGAAGAGCGGACACGACAUCGCCAUCCCGGCCUGAACUGCCCCUGCCCAGGCACAGCUGCCUCCCACGUGUGCACAGCCCAGCCACAAGGCGAGCCCCCCCGCCCUGCUGAGAGCUACUGAGAGGCUCCCCUGCACACGGCCCUGGCAUCUCAUGGGAGAACGGGAAGUGGGACGUUGAAGCCCACGUCAUCGCCAUGGACAUGAAGAGGAAUGACACAGCUUGCUGGCACCGAUGACCAAUCUGAAAACAACUUUUGCUUUUUGCUGGCUUGCUGCACUUGAGACCCAUUGCGGAAGGCGCAGUGGGUAAAUGAUGACUUCACUGCCAUCCUGGCCCGCCUCCCACGGUUUGGCGCCUCUGGAGAGGGCCUGGGGAUGUCAUUACUGUAAUCUCUGCCAUCUGGCUGUCUUUGGCCUCCUGCCCUUCCUCACAUGGUCAGAGGUCACCCCUCGUCUCCCCAGGAGCUUCCUGGAAUGGCAGCCCUCCCCG
rnacentral:lncRNA from 1 species